AUGGUACACAGUCUUCACGCUGAGUGGCAGCCCAGGCUUGUAAAAUUGCUCUUGGGCCUGUAAAAAUCAUGUCUUCCGGCCAACCGAAUCUAAUUAAAAUUUAACAAAAAUUGAGCUCUUGGCCUGUAGAUUUAACAGUUCGUGGUGAAGACUGGGUACAUCGACAUACCUAACAAACUGUGGCUAGGUGACAUGUUUAAUGCCCCCC
rnacentral:lncRNA from 1 species